rnacentral:ncRNA from 1 species
AACUUAGAAGUCCUUGAUGUUCUUUCAGAGUGCAGCCAUGUUUGAACACGAUGUUCAAACAAGCCGCCACUGAGCCAUGGAUGGCGAAUUGGCGGUGAUGGCGGACAUAGAGAAAAAGAAAAUUAAGAACAUCUAGUACUUCUUAGUUUC